rnacentral:lncRNA from 1 species
GCGGAAGAAAAAUAAUUGAAAAAAAAUAUAUUUUCUAUUUAUUAAAAAAUAAUUAACUUAGCACAUCUUAUUAUUAUUAGUUUCAUACAUGCUGAUGUUAUAGGAAUUUUUUUUGAUUUCAUAAUCAUUUACAUUUUUUAUUUGAGCGUCUCUGAUGACUCUUUUGUAAACGAAACGCACGUGUUACGUACACAAUUUUAAUUCUGGUAUCUAUGAUGUUAUUUACAAAUAGUGCAUGCAUGUUUUCAAAUGAUGUAAUAUUGAAUCCUUACCUAUAUUGUAUAAAACAUAUUCUAUACCGUACAAAUGCAUUCCAAUUUUGAUAAAAAUGCACUGUGUAUGGUGACUAAAAAGAUACAUAGAUAUAGGAAGAUGUGGUGCGAGUGCCAAUGAGACAACUCUCCAUCCAAAUAACAAUUUAUAAAAAUAAACCAUUAUAGGUC